CCAAUAGCGUAUAUUAAAGUUGUUGUGGUUAAAAAGCUCGUAGUUGAACCUUGGGCCUGGCUGGCCGGUCCGCCUCACCGCGUGUACUGGUCCGGCCGGGUCUUUCCCUCUGUGGAACCUCAUGCCCUUCACUGGGUGUGGCGGGGAAACAGGACUUUUACUUUGAAAAAAUUAGAGUGCUCAAGGCAGGCCUAUGCUCGAAUACAUUAGCAUGGAAUAAUAGAAUAGGACGUGUGGUUCUAUUUUGUUGGUUUCUAGGACCGCCGUAAUGAUUAAGAGGGACAGUCGGGGGCAUCAGUAUUCAAUUGGCAGAGGUGAAAUUCUUGGAUUUAUUGAAGACUAACUACUGCGAAAGCAUUUGCCAAGGAUGUUUUCAUUAAUCAGGAACGAAAGUUAGGGGAUCGAAGACGAUCAGAUACCGUCGUAGUCUUAACCAUAAACUAUGCCGACUAGGGAUCGGACGAUGUUAUUUUUUGACUCGUUCGGCACCUUACG
rnacentral:rRNA from 1 species